GAUGGUAGGAUAGUGGCCUACCAUGGUUUCAACGGGUAACGGGGAAUUAGGGUUCGAUUCCGGAGAGGGGGCCUGAGAAACGGCCACCACAUCCAAGGAAGGCAGCAGGCGCGCAAAUUACCCAAUCCCGACACGGGGAGGUAGUGACAAUAAAUACUGAUACAGGGCUCUUUUGGGUCUUGUAAUUGGAAUGAGUACAAUUUAAAUACCUUAACGAGGAACAAUUGGAGGGCAAGUCUGGUGCCAGCAGCCGCGGUAAUUCCAGCUCCAAUAGCGUAUAUUUUUGUUGUUGCAGUUAAAAAGCUCGUAGUUGAACCUUGGCCCUGGCUAGCCGGUCCGCCUCACCGCGAUUUCUGGUCCGGCCGGGGCUUUCCUCCUGGGGAUCCGCAUGGCCUUUGCUGGUCGUGUCGGGGAACCAGGACUUUUACUUUGAAAAAAUUAGAGUGUUCAAAGCAGGCAUCCGCUCGAAUACAUUAGCAUGGAAUAAUGGAAUAGGACGUGUGGUUCUAUUUCGUUGGUUUCUAGGACCACCGUAAUGAUUAAUAGGGAUAGUCGGGGGCAUCAGUAUUCGAUUGUCAGAGGUGAAAUUCUUGGAUUUAUCGAAGACUAACUACUGCGAAAGCAUUUGCCAAGGAUGUUUUCAUUAAUCAGGAACGAAAGUUAGGGGAUCGAAGACGAUCAGAUACCGUCGUAGUCUUAACCAUAAACUAUGCCGACUAGGGAUCGGACGAUGUUUACUUUAUGACUCGUUCGGCACCUUACGAGAAAUCAUAAGUGUUUGGGUUCUGGGGGGAGUAUGGUCGCAAGGCUGAAACUUAAAGAAAUUGACGGAAGGGCACCACCAGGAGUG
rnacentral:rRNA from 1 species